rnacentral:rRNA from 1 species
AUUGAACGCUGGCGGCAUGCUUUACACAUGCAAGUCGAACGGCAGCGCGGGCUUCGGCCUGGCGGCGAGUGGCGAACGGGUGAGUAAUGCAUCGGAACGUGCCCAGUAGUGGGGGAUAGCCCGGCGAAAGCCGGAUUAAUACCGCAUACGACCUGAGGGUGAAAGCGGGGGACCGAAAGGCCUCGCGCUAUUGGAGCGGCCGAUGUCGGAUUAGCUAGUUGGUGGGGUAAAGGCUUACCAAGGCGACGAUCCGUAGCUGGUCUGAGAGGACGACCAGCCACACUAGGACUGGGACACGGCCCAGACUCCUACGGGAGGCAGCAGUGGGGAAUUUUGGACAAUGGGGGCAACCCUGAUCCAGCCAUGCCGCGUGCGAGAAGAAGGCCUUCGGGUUGUAAACCGCUUUUGUUCGGGAAGAAAUCCUCUGGGCUAAUACCCCGGGGGGAUGACGGUACCGGAAGAAUAAGCACCGGCUAACUACGUG